GACGAACGCUGGCGGCGUGCUUAACACAUGCAAGUCGAACGGUGAAGCCCUUCGGGGUGGAUCAGUGGCGAACGGGUGAGUAACACGUGAGCAACCUGCCCCUGGCUCUGGGACAACCACUGGAAACGGUGGCUAAUACCGGAUACGACUCGCCCCGGCAUCGGGUGCGGGUGGAAAGAUUUCAUCGGCUGGGGAUGGGCUCGCGGCCUAUCAGCUUGUUGGUGGGGUGAUGGCCCACCAAGGCGACGACGGGUAGCCGGCCUGAGAGGGCGACCGGCCACACUGGGACUGAGACACGGCCCAGACUCCUACGGGAGGCAGCAGUGGGGAAUAUUGCACAAUGGGCGCAAGCCUGAUGCAGCGACGCCGCGUGAGGGAUGACGGCCUUCGGGUUGUAAACCUCUUUCAGCUUUGACGAAGCCCUUCGGGGUGACGGUAGGAGCAGAAGAAGCACCGGCUAACUACGUGCCAGCCGCCGCAGUAA
rnacentral:rRNA from 1 species